rnacentral:lncRNA from 1 species
GCUUUCCUCUGGGGCAGCCUGGGUUGCCAUGAUAAGGAGGGGUUGGAUUUUCCAUGUGCUGGUGUUAUUUCUGUGGAAUCAUGGAGCCCCUGCCAUGCUUUGGUGUUGGAGAAGACACACAAAAGGAAGGGGAAUUGGGAGGACAGAUACCUCAGCCUGCUGAUAAAGGGAUUUCUGGUGAGGUGAUGAUUCAGGAGGCACAAGGAUUGCCCUGGUUCUGGAGUGGUGCCCACGCAGGGAGAGGGGAAGAAGCACUUCCAGCAUGGGAUUGGUGCCUCUGGCUCCUCCAUCCUCUGCUUCUCCACACGUGCUCUGAGGAGCUACCAGAUCCACAGGCAUCCAAGCUGCUGCCCAUCAGGGAGCUGUGGGGAAGAAGGAGCCUUUUGCAAAUCCCAGGGAUGAUUCCAAGCUCCCUAGAAUGAGUUCCAAGAUGUAAAGAGCUCUGGAUCCCCACUGGAACACCAGCACUGACACCCCUGGAAGUGUUGCUUCACCACAGCAUCACCUCUCCCACAGCCACCUCAAACUGUGGAAAAGGAGAAUUUCUGCUCAGCUCAGAUUGUGGGAAGGGAGAAUUUCUGCUCGGGGAAGCAGAACUUGUACAACAAAUUGCAUCAGAGGCAUGGGUUUUCUCAGAGAACAUGCCUAAUGGAACAGCAGCACAAUGAAUCUCUGAUUCCUCUCCGGGCCUGGCCACCCAUCCACUCAGCUGGAUGAAUCCAUUCCCUCCUGGCAGCCACAGGGGGAAUGAUGUGAGAAAAUAUGGUGAGAAGGUGCUUCAGUGAAGAAGAUUUGAGGGAUUUUCUCCUCAAAUCCCCUGCACCAUUCCCUUCCCUUCACCAGGCUGAGUAUGGGCAAUGCAGGCCAUUACUGAUAAAGGCCAGCCAGAAAUCUGAAUAUCAUUAGAAGGCCUGGGUUGUUUAUUAAAGGUUUUAACCACAGACUUGGCCUUGCUCAUGGCUUCCCUCAUCCUAUGUUAAAAAAUAUCCUAUGGAGGCAAAGAAUUAAAAGCUCAUAUGUCCU